GAACACUUCCACAGCACAUAUAAUAAAAUUAGAACAAUACAGAGAUCCGUGUGGCCCCUGCUCAGGAUGACAACGCAAAUUAGUGAAGCUUCCAUAUUUUUA
rfam:Otolemur garnettii contig016629, whole genome shotgun sequence.